rnacentral:ncRNA from 1 species
CAAAGAUUUGGUCCUGGUCUUUUUUUCAGCUCUAGCCGAACUUACACAUGCAAGUAUCCGCACUCCCGUGAGAAUGCCCAUAGUCCUCCAACAGAGAACAAGGAGCCGGUAUCAGGCACAAACUAACCUAUGCCCAUGACACCUUGCUCAGCCACACCCCCAAGGGAACCCAGCAGUGAUAAAUAUUAAGCCAUAAGUGAAAACUUGACUUAGUUACGGCUAACAGGACCGGCAAAACUCGUGCCAGCCGCCGCGGUUACACGAGAGGUCCAAGUUGACAAACAACGGCGUAAAGAGUGGUUAAGAACAAACAUAAACUAAAGCCGAACAGUUCACAAAGUCAUCUUCAAGCUAACGAGAACAUGAAGCCCCACUACGAAAGUAGCUUUACAUUACCCUGAACCCACGAAAGCUAAGGAACAAACUGGGAUUAGAUACCCCACUAUGCUUAGCCGUAAACAUUGAUCACAAAAGUACACACGCACUCCGCCCGGGAAUUACGAACAAAAGUUUAAAACCCAAAGGACUUGGCGGUGCUUAACAUCCACCUAGAGGAGCCUGUUCUAUAACCGAUAAUCCCCGUUCAACCUCACCCUUCCUUGUUAUAAUCCGCCUAUAUACCGCCAUCGUCAGUCCACCCUGUGAAGGCCCCACAGUCGACAAAACCGCAACAACCCCAAACGUUAGGUCGAGGUGUAGCGUAUGGAAGGGGAAGAAAUGGGCUACAUUUGCUACAACAGCAUAGCACGAAUUUUGUUUUGAAACAUACAACUGAAGGAGGAUUUAGCAGUAAGCAGGAAAUAGAGCGUUCUGCUGAAAUCGGCACUUAAGCGCGCACACACCGCCCGUCACCCUCCCCAAACCACGAACAUCAAACCUAAUUAAAUCAAACUCGUACAUCAUAGGGGAGGAAAGUCGUAACAUGGUAAGCGUACCGGAAGGUGCGCUUGGUAAAAC